GACGAAGGAUGCAAGCGUUAUCCGGAUUCAUUGGGUUUAAAGGGAGCGUAGGCGGUUUGGUAAGUCAGUGGUGAAAUCUCUCAGCUUAACUGAGAAAUUGCCAUUGAUACUGCUAAACUUGAGUACAGAUGCCGUUGGCGGAAUAUGACAUGUAGUGGUGAAAUACAUAGAGAUGUCAUAGAACACCGAUUGCGAAGGCAGCUGACGAAACUGUAACUGACGCUGAGGCUCGAAAGUGCGGGGAUCAAACAGG
rnacentral:rRNA from 2 species